UGGGGGAUAUUGCACAAUGGGCGAAAGCCUGAUGCAGCGACGCCGCGUGGGGGAUGAAGGCCUUCGGGUUGUAAACUUCUUUUGCUCUGAACAAGGCGCACCAUGGGGUGUGUUGAGUGUAGGGGUUGAUUAGCGCCGGCUAACUACGUGCCAGCAGCCGCGGUAAUACGUAGGGCGCGAGCGUUGUCCGGACUUAUUGGGCGUAAAGGGCUUGUAGGUGGCUGGUUGCGUAUGUCGUGAAAGCUCAUGGCUUAACUGUGGGUUUGCUGUGGGUACGGGCUGGCUUGAGUGCAGUAGGGGAGGCUGGAAUUCCUGUUGUAGCGGUGGAAUGCGCAGAUAUCAGGAGGAAUACCGGUGGCGAAGGCGGGUCUCUGGGCUGUUACUGACACUGAGGAGCGAAAGCAUGGGGAGCGAACAGG
rnacentral:rRNA from 1 species